AGGAGAGAAAGUCAUAGUGUGGGCUCCAUCCUCCCCUGACCUCAAUCCUAUUGAGAACCUUUGGAGCAUCCUCAAGCAAAAGAUCUAUGAGGGUGGGAGGCAGUUUACAUCCAAACAGCAGCUCUGGGAGGCUAUUCUGACAUCUUGCAAACAAAUUCAAGCAAUAGCUGUCCAAAAACUCACAAGUUCAAUGGAUGCAAGACUUGUAAAGUUG